rnacentral:rRNA from 1 species
GACGAACGCUGGCGGCGUGCUUAACACAUGCAAGUCGAACGGAAAGGCCCUGCUUUUGUGGGGUGCUCGAGUGGCGAACGGGUGAGUAACACGUGAGUAACCUGCCCUUGACUUUGGGAUAACUUCAGGAAACUGGGGCUAAUACCGGAUAGGAGCUCCUGCUGCAUGGUGGGGGUUGGAAAGUUUCGGCGGUUGGGGAUGGACGCGCGGCUUAUCAGCUUGGUGGUGGGGUAGUGGCUUACCAAGGCUUUGACGGGUAGCCGGCCUGAGAGGGUGACCGGCCACGUUGGGACUGUGCUACGGCCCAGACUCCUACGGGAGGCAGCAGUGGGGAAUAUUGCACAAUGGGCGGAAGCCUGAUGCAGCAACGCCGCGUGCGGGAUGACGGCCGUCGGGUUGUAAACCGCUUUCGCCUGUGACGAAGCGUGAGUGACAGUAAUGGGUAAAGAAGCACCGGCUAACUACGUG